GUAACGCUUUGAUGGCAAAUUAAUUCAAUUUUAUUUUCUAGAUACACCGAAAAAUAAAUUAAAAACGCUCCCAAAUUAAUGUCAAGCGAAAUGGGAUGAUGAGCGAACGCUGCGCGGGAAAGGAAAUUGCCAAGAUUAAGAUUAUCCUUCAGAAAUUAUUCCACACCCCAAGGCGCUUCUGGGCAGACAACAAACGGUGCUUGACGAAUGGAACUCGAGGCCUGGAGUAGUCGCUGAAAUUAAUGAGACAGCUCUCGUGGCAGGCUCCAUUUGAUAUGCGCACUUUUAUUUGAUUUGUCGUGAAAAAUAAACCGCACGCCGCUGCUCACUUUUCCCUCUCUCUCUUUUCUCCUCCCAAGCCUGUCGUGCACCUACACUUAUUGCAAUUUACUGACUGCGCACGUGACAAACGAGCCGCACGUUUCCUUCAUUGUACGCGACCAGCUCCAUAUCACACAUACGCAGCGUACGCGCAAAGAGAGACAGGGAAGAGCAAGAGCGAGUGUGCGGCUUGUUUUGUGGCAGUGCCAGGCCAGAGCUUAAUCAGAAGAAAUCACCCAUGUCUUAUUUCUUGCAGUGUAGUCGCAACAUUAAUUUUAGGGUCUCGGCAGAGACAAGCGCCGGUCGCUCGGUCAUAUUCCAAAUUGAUUUUAUCCUACGCAUUAAUUAAAAU
rnacentral:lncRNA from 1 species